UCAACAUGUAGAGUGGUUACUGGGCACAAUGUAGCGGUUCCAUUAUGCUGCUCAUGCCUCGCCUCCUCACUGUGAGAUAUGGUGAAACAUGAGAGGUGGCAAUAUCUAAAGGAAUGGCUGCACUCACCACAAUUAGAUCAUCGGUGGUACUGCCAAAGAUGAUUCAGGUGAU